GUUGUCUUUGAUAAAGAAUAGUAUCGAGUGAGCGAAAUCGUGCGAAAUGAUAAACAAUGUGAGGUCAACCGGCAACUUGGAUGCAACAUGAGCAUUAAGAUUCAUUCCAUGCAUAGCCGCCUAGAUCGAUUUUUUUGAAAAUCUUAGAGAUUUAAGCGAGGAGCAGAGAGAGCGCUUUCAUCAGGAUAUUCGCUUCAUGGAGGAACGCUCCCAGGACUUUUGAAAAUAUGAUGGCUGACUACUGUUGGAUUAUCCAGAAUAGUAGUAAAACUCCAACUAAUUCAAGAAAGUCACAUAAAAGAAAGUUUUGUUCUAAUUAGAUUGUUAAAUAAAUUGUUAUAUGACGGGAUA